rnacentral:rRNA from 1 species
UACGAGAGGCCCAAACGUUAUUCGGAAUUACUGGGCUUAAAGAGUUCGUAGGCGGCAUGAAAAGUAGGGUGUGAAAGCCCUCGGCUCAACCGAGGAAUUGCGCUCUAAACUGUCGUGCUAGAGGAAGCUAGAGGUGAGCGGAACUGAUGGUGGAGCGGUGAAAUGCGUUGAUAUCAUCAGGAACACCGGAGGCGAAGGCGGCUCACUGGGCUUUUCUGACG